UACGAAGGGGGCUAGCGUUGCUCGGAAUCACUGGGCGUAAAGGGUGCGUAGGCGGACAUUUAAGUUGGAGGUGAAAGCCUUGGGCUCAACCCAAGAAUUGCCUUUGAUACUGGAUGUCUCGAGACCGGGAGAGGUGAGUGGAAUUCCGAGUGUAGAGGUGAAAUUCGUAGAUAUUCGGAAGAACACCAGUGGCGAAGGCGGCUCACUGGCCCGGUUCUGACGCUGAGGUGCGAAAGCGUGGGGAGCAAACAGG
rnacentral:rRNA from 1 species